GGGGGCGAAAUGGUCUCGACGAGGCGAAAGGUCUGACCGAGGCUGCGAGCCGGGAGGCGUGCUGCCCCGUAACCGCGCACGCGAACCAUAAAUGCCGAACCGGCAAUGGCUCUGGCUGCCUAAUUAGCGGCCACGUCCACCCGGCCUCGCCGAUCGGGCCGGCAGUGGGCGUCAGACAGAUCGGCUAGCCGACCGUCUUUGGCCCCGAGGAUGGUCGGCGAACCAACGAGGGGCUGGCCGCAGCAAGCCCCGCGCGUCGGGCCCGCUGCGGCGAGAUCAAAAGGCGCGAUACGCUCGUAGAGGCCUCGGCAGUCCCGUCUCGGACGCGGGUUCGAUUCCCGCCGCCUCCACCA
rnacentral:tmRNA from 1 species